rnacentral:rRNA from 1 species
UUUAUCAAAAACAUGUCUUUUUGAAUUAAAUUUAAAGUCUAACCUGCCCACUGAUAUAUAUUAAAGGGCCGCAGUAUUUUGACUGUGCGAAGGUAGCAUAAUCACUAGUCUUUUAAUUGGAGGCUUGUAUGAAUGGUUGAAUGAGAUAUAUACUGUCUUUUUUAAAAUUAUAUAGAAUUUUAUUUUUUAAUUAAAAAGUUAAAAUAAAAUUAAAGGACGAGAAGACCCUAUAGAUCUUUAUUUUUUUUAUUUAUAAAUUAAAAAGAAUUUUAAAAUUUAUAAUUUAAUAAAAAAUUUUAUUGGGGUGAUAUUAAAAUUUAAAAAACUUUUAAAAUUUUUUAACAUUAAUAUAUGAAUAAAUGAUCCAGUUUUAUUGAUUAAAAAUUUAAGUUACCUUAGGGAUAACAGCGUAAUUUUUUUUUAGAGUUCAUAUCGACAAAAAAGAUUGCGACCUCGAUGUUGGAUUAAGAGUUAUUUUUAGGUGUAGAAGUUUAAAGUU